rnacentral:tRNA from 1 species
AAGGGUGUAGCUCAGUGGUAGAGCAUGUGCUUAGCAUGCACGAGGUGCUGGGUUCAAUCCCCAGUACUCCUU